rnacentral:rRNA from 1 species
GAUGAACGCUGGCGGCGUGCCUAAUACAUGCAAGUCGAGCGAAUGGAUUAAGAGCUUGCUCUUAUGAAGUUAGCGGCGGACGGGUGAGUAACACGUGGGUAACCUGCCCAUAAGACUGGGAUAACUCCGGGAAACCGGGGCUAAUACCGGAUAAUAUUUUGAACUGCAUGGUUCAAAAUUGAAAGGCGGCUUCGGCUGUCACUUAUGGAUGGAUCCGCGUCGCAUUAGCUAGUUGGUGAGGUAACGGCUCACCAAGGCAACGAUGCGUAGCCGACCUGAGAGGGUGAUCGGCCACACUGGGACUGAGACACGGCCCAGACUCCUACGGGAGGCAGUAGUAGGGAAUCUUCCGCAAUGGACGAAAGUCUGACGGAGCAACGCCGCGUGAGUGAUGAAGGCUUUCGGGUCGUAAAACUCUGUUGUUAGGGAAGAACAAGUGCUAGUUGAAAAAGCUGGCACCUUGACGGUACCUAACCAGAAAGCCACGGCUAACUACGUGCCAGCCGCCGCAGUAA